AGCUUAUUUUCUGUAAUAACCAUCGCGGAUGGGAGCCAUGAGUUUGUGAAUGAAUGGACAAUGGCACGCCUGGAAAAGAGUGAAGUCUCCUUUGUGCCUUUAGCACUAUAAGGAACCUUUUAAAAAAAAAUCUUUGAGGUGCUGCCACCAGACUUAGACAAAAAAAGACACGUGUUGCUGAAGAUGGAUCAGGCUUUGCUACUCAUUCAUAAUGAACUCCUUGGGACCAACUUGACUGUCUACUGGAAAUCGGAAUCCUGUUAUCACUGCUUGUUUCAGGUUCUGGUAAAUGUUCCUCAGAGCCCAAAAGUGGGGAAGCCUAGCACUGUAGCUGUCCCUGUCAGCACCCAGCACAGAUCUAUCCUACAGCUGAACAACACCUUGGAAGAGAAAGAAGUUUGUAGGCUGGAAUACGAAUGUGGAGAAUUUGGAAACUAUUCUUUCUCGGUAAAGUACAUUCAUAAUGGAGUUAGUGAAAUUGCCUGUGACCGGGCUGUGAAUGGGGAUCCACCCGACAGUAACCUUCCCGUGAGCACUGCAUUCCUUAUUGGUCUCGCUCUCAUCAUUGUGGUAUCUUUUCUGAGGCUCUUGUGGAGUUUGGAUGACUUUAAUAAUCGAAUUUCUAGGCCAUAAGUUCUUGAGAAACUGAUCGCCUCAUCAAUUCUGAGCUGGGAUCUCCCAGCAGGACAGACCCUCUCGAUAGUGACAUCCAGCCAGCAAUGUGGCAUCCAUUUGCCCUGUGGCUCCCUCUCCAUGGCACAGACACCUUCAGGGGGAUUGCUGUCAUACUCAUGGUCUUUGUCAAUUAUGGAGAAGGAAAAUAUUGGUACUUCAAACACACCAGUUGGAAUGGGUUGACGGUGGCUGACCUCGAGUUCCCAUGGUUUGUAUUUAUUAUGGGAUCUUCCAUUUUUCUAUCAAUCACUUCUAUGCUGCAAUGGGGAUAUUCAAACUUCAGAGUGCUGGGGAAGAUUGCAUGGAGGAGUUUCCUGUUAAUCUGCAUAGGAAUUAUCAUUGUGGAUCCCAAUUAUUGCCUUGGUCCAUUGUCUUGGGACAAGGUGCGCAUUCCUGGUGUGCUGCAGCGCUGGGGGUGACUUGCUUUGUGGUUGCUGUGUUGGAGCUCCUCUUUGUUAAUCCUGUGCCUGAACAUUGUGCCUCGGAGAGGAGCUGCCUUUUUCUUCGAGACAUAAUGUCCAGCUGGUCGUAGAGGCUUCACAUCCUGGCGCUGGAAGGCCUGGGGCUGGGCCUGACACUCCUCCUGCCAGUCCCUGGGUGCCCUACUGGUUAUCUUGGUCCUGGGGGCAUUGGAGAUUUUGGCAAGUAUCCAAAUUGUACUGGAGGAGCUGCGGGCUACAUGGACCGCCUGCAGCUGGGAGACGAUCGCCUUUACCAGCGCCCAUCUUCUGCUGUGCUUUUCCACACUGAGGUGGCCUAUGAUCCCGAGGACAUCCUGGGCACCAUCCACUCCAUCGUGAUGGCCUUUUUAGUAGUUCAGGCAGGAAAAAUACUAUUGUACUACAAGGCUCAGACUGCAGACAUCCUGGUUCGAUUCACUGCUUGGUGUUGUAUUCUUGGGCUCAUUUCUGUUGCUCUGACAAAAGUUUCUGAAAAUGAAGGUUUUAUUCCAGUAAACAAAAAUCUCCGAUCCCUUUCAUAUGUCACCACGCUCAGUUCUUUUGCCUUCUUCGUUCUGCUGGUCCUGUACCUGGUUGUGGAUGUGAAGGGGCUGUGGACAGGAACCUGUUCUUUUAUACAGGAAUUAAUUCUAUUCUGGUGUAUGUUGCCCAUGAGGUAUUUGAGACCUACUUCCCCUUUCAGUGGAAGCUGGAGGACAACCAGUCCCACAGGGAGCACGUGACUCAGAACAUUGUUGCCACUGCCCUCUGGGUGCUCACUGCCUACAUCCUCUAGAGAAAGAAGAUUUUUUGGAAUAUCUGAUGGCUCCUGCUGACAUGUACCGCUGGGAGACUCUAGUGGGCCUGCAGGGAGGACUGAAGCAGCCUUCAUUAAAGGGAAGCACUCAUUAGGGAAAAGAAAAAUCUUUGAUACCUUGCAGCUGCAUUAGAAUUGCUAAAACAAAAAUUAUUAACUCUCGUCUCUUAACUGCAACUAAAGUUGGCAACUCCCCAAAAAAAUGUUAAAGAAGAUGCUUGUGUGUCAGGUGACUAUGAGCACGAUUCUACUGCUUACCACGAAACCACGAAUCACGUCGCAUACAGUAGCAAGUGGUUUCUUAGCCAGGAGCCUUGGGGUUGCGCAUGCAGCAGCUGGUGGUUCCUUAACUGGGAAGCCUCAAGGUUGGCUGGGGUUUGGCUGAUCUGGGCUGGGUUCAGCUGAGCCAUCUGCUUCUGAGCAUCAGCGGAGGGUGGUUUCUUGAGGAAGUCUGGGCUCAGGGUCACUCUGUGACCCUGGUGAAGGAGCCAGCGCGUCUGGGGCAAGUUCUCGGCAUGGCCAGGCACAGGCAAAAAGUGGAGAGCGCUAGCAGAAGCAGCAAGGCCUGUAAAGGCACGCCUUCGCUUCCACUUUAAUUUAUUGGCCAACACUAGUCCCACGGCCAAAGUUGAAGGAAGGGGGAAACUGGGAAAUAUGUUCUACCUUUUGUGGGAAAAACUGUAAAGUCAUGGAGAAAAGAUCUAAAUACAGAGAGGUCUGGAGAAUUGGACCAAUAAUGGUACCUUCCACAACUGGCUAAUGAAAAAUAUGGUGGCUUGCUGGGGAGGUCACACUGCAGCAUGAGAUCCACUCAGCUUAGCAUCCCCACCAUCACCACCAUGAAGCCCAGGGAGGGAAGACUCUGAGGGGAUCCUCUGGCAGAAUCUGGUUGUCAUGGACUGAAUGUUUUGUCCCCCCACAAUUCGUAUGUUGAAAUCCUAAAGCCCAACAUGAUGGUAUGAAGCAGUGGGGUUUUGGGAAGUGGUUAGGUCAGGAGAGUGGAGCCCUCAUGAAUGGGAUUCAUGCCUUCAUAAGAAGAGACCAGACGGGGUCCAAAGUGGCUCCCGCCGGAGCUCAUGGCGCUCGCAAAGGCGAGGUCAUCAGUUCAAGGCUAACCUGAGCAACCUGAUUAGCUCAAACUGAUUGGCAAAAAAAAAAAAGAAGAGACCAGAGAGCUCCCUAGCCCCUUCCGCCAAGUGAGGACACAGCCUGGAGGCGCCACCUAUGAACCAGGAAGUGAAUCCUCGUCAGACACUGAACCAGCCCGCAUCUCCAUCUUGGACUUCCCCCCUCCAGAACUGUGAUAAUAAAUGCUUGUUGUUUAAGCCAC